rnacentral:lncRNA from 1 species
AGCCGUCUUAACAUGAAAACAUGCUUUGUUCUCAUUGCUAAUUUUAUUGAUUAGUUAGUUCUAUUCAUUGUGAGACGGGGGAGAAAUGUUUUCUUUCUGAUUCUGGAGAUGAAGAGAAGCCGAUUUUCUUUCUGAUGCUGGAGAUGAAGUGAAACCGAUUAGGGAAUUUGGGUUAGCCUGUGGAUUAUUAAAUCCUCGAUAUGGUAGCAGUAAUUUACCACCGAACUGGAAACUGGACUGGUUGUGAUCUUAUCUGGUCUAUUCUCUGAAUGGCAUGAAUACCGUCGGCUGCUGAGUCGGCUCCAGUCGGCACGGUUGGUUCACUGUCGAAGGCGCAGGUUCAUCCUUGUGUCUCCUCCAUGCCGAUGUGGGAGUACUGAUGUGGCGAACCAGCGCGGGAAGUCUACAAGGGAGGUGGUUUGCUGGGGCUGAUCUGACCUUGGAGCGGUGAGGCCUGGUAGAGGAACUGGGAUCUGCUCGGCAGUGAGGCCCUCUCUUGGCUGUUGGGUCAUCUUCAAGCUGCGAGGUUGUCUCGUGGGCGCCAGUGAUUCUGCACAACAGGUCAGUGAUUCUGCACAACAGCUCGACCCCUUCGAUGCUUAAGUCAGUGUAAGGCGGAGGAUGCGAAAGACAGCAGUAUGAGCUGUGUAAAUAUGAGAGAGUAAAGGGUUGAGAGAUUGUUGCCCCCCAAUCUUGGCCUGGGGUGUGGCUCUUAUGCUUGGGUGUCGUGCCCUCUCCGAUUGUGAUCUUAUCUGGUCUACUCUCUGAUUGAGCAUGAAUACUGUUGGCUGGUGAGUCGGCUUCUGUUGACACGGUUGGUUCACUGCCAAAGGUGCAAGUUCAUCCUUGUGUCUCCUUCGUGCCGAUAUGGGAGUGUUGAUAUGGUGAACUAGCAUUGGAAGUCUAUAAGGGAGGCGGUUUGCUGGGGCUGAUUUGACCUUAGACCAGUGAUUUUGCACAACAGGUCGGUGUCCCGGGGAGGGGGGCUUCCCGGCUCGACCUCUUCGAUGCUUAAGUUAGUGUAAGGCGGAGGAGGCGAAAGACAGUAGUAUGAGCUGUGUAAAGAUGAGAGAGUAAAGGGUUAAGAGAUUGUUGCCCCCCCCAAUCUUGGCCUGGGGUGUGGCUCUUAUGCUUGGGUGUCGUGCGUUCUCCGAUUGUGAUCUUAUCUGGUCUA